rnacentral:lncRNA from 1 species
CCGGGCCGGGGGCCGGGGCGAGCGCAGCGCCGCGGGGUCCCCUGGCGGGGCUGGCUCGGGCUUCGUCCCCGGACACGCCGAGGCUGCAGUCCCCGUUGGAAACCCCGCCGCUGUCACAGCGCGCCCGCCCGUGGCCGAGGCGACCUCCCCCGCCGCCGCCGCCGCCGCCGCCGCCGCCUUCCUCGCUCUGCCGGCCGCCGCCGCUCCCGCGCCCUCGCCCCCGUCAGCCCGGGUUGUCCGCGCGCCACAGGACGGAAGGAUCCAAUAUUUGGGAGUAUGCUUGAGAAAACAGAGCUUCAGGAAAAGCUGAGAAUGACCUCUCUUUGGCUGACUCAUUCUGACUUUAAAGUAAUAUGUCUUUACAGAACAUGGUGA